AGAAGAUAGAUGAUAAAGGGCCUUGAGAGGAGGGCUCUGCCCUAUGAUGCUGCCCUGUUCUCCUUGUGGAGCUGAGGAGGGUGGUGAAGUCUGAGGGGAGGGAAGGGACUAUGGGG